rnacentral:RNase_P_RNA from 1 species
AGUGGGAUAAAUGGUCGCGGCUGGCAGGCCGAAAGGUGCCAGACGAGGAAAGUCCGGGCUUCACAGGGCAGGAUGCCGGAUAACGUCCGGUGGAGGCGACUCCAAGGAUAGUGCAACAGAAAUGAACCGCCAGCCACUGGCUGGUAAGGGUGGAAGGGCAGUGUAAGAGACUACCGCCUCCCUGGUAACAGGGAGGGCAUAUGUAAACCCCAUCCGAAGCAAGACCGAAACAAAGCAUAUGACGGCCCGUCAGCUUUAGGUAGGUCGCUGGAACCUGUUGGCGACAGCAGGUCUGGAUAGAUGACCAUUCACGACAUAACCCGGCUUAUCGUCCCGCUCG